rnacentral:rRNA from 1 species
UACGUAGGGGGCAAGCGUUGUCCGGAAUCAUUGGGCGUAAAGCGCGUGUAGGCGGCCCGAUAAGUCCGCUGUGAAAGUCCAGGGCUCAACCCUGGAAUGCCGGUGGAUACUGUCGGGCUCGAGUCCGGAGGCGAGUGGAAUUCCUGGUGUAGCGGUGAAAUGCGCAGAUAUCAGGAGGAACACCGAUGGCGAAGGCGGGUCUCUGGGCAGUAACUGACGCUGAGGAGCGAAAGCGUGGGGAGCGAACAGG